GUCCACGCCGUAAACGAUGGGUGCUAGGUGUCGCGGGCUUUGACCCCUGCGGUGCCGUAGCUAACGCAUUAAGCACCCCGCCUGGGGAGUACGGCCGCAAGGCUAAAACUCAAAGGAAUUGACGGGGGCCCGCACAAGCGGUGGAGCAUGUGGUUCAAUUCGACGCAACGCGCAGAACCUUACCUGGGCUAGAAAAUGCAGGAACCUGGUCGAAAGGUCGGGGUGCUCUUCGGAGAACCUGUAGUUAGGUGCUGCAUGGCUGUCGU
rnacentral:rRNA from 1 species